GCUUGCCCGGCGCGGGAACCGCCGGGUUCUGAGGUCACGAAGGCUGCACGACUACCCCGGGCUCGGCCCCGGGCUGGGCAGCUCACUGGGCAGAGUCUGGCUCACUGGAUCACGUGUUAGAGAACUGAGGAUCUGUGUUGCUUGGGCUGUUCUGGAACUCUCUGUAGAUCAGGCUAUCCUGGAAAUACUUCUAAGCGCCAAAAGCAGUAUGACUGCAGAAUUCAUGAAACAAUGUCCAAGCGAUCUAUACAAGUGAAAGCUAAACCAGAAUAUCCUCAUCUUCAAGUAGAAACCUGUGUAAACAGAAGGCCAGCUUUCUUCAUUGCUCUUCAGAAACGGGUCUUAUGCUGCUUGUAGCCGGGUGAAAACAUUUCCUUUGGUCCAAUUGUACCAUUCACAGUCCAAACCUAAGGUUAGUUCCAGUUCUCAUCUCACAAACAAGGAGCAAAGUCUGCUUUCAUUCUCUUUAGAUUUUUUUAAUCCAAAAUGUGUUCCUCUCUUACAAACCCACCAUCUGGAGACCACCCCACAAUGCUAUCAAGGCCUGGAGGUCACUCCACAAUGCUAUCAAGACCUGGAGGUCACCCCACAAUGCUAUCAAGGCCUGGAGACCACCCCACAAUGCUAUCAAGGCCUGGAGGUCACCCCACAAUGCUAUCAAGGCCUGGAGGUCACCCCACAAUGCUAUCAAGACUCACAUAGUUUUUGCAACAUUUUGGUGAAAAAAAGGAAUUGAGAUAUUUGAAAUAAUCAGGAAAAUUAAUUGAUCGUGUCUGAGAGAUGCUGUUUGUACACACGUGUGCUCUGCUGUAUGCGUAGGUGUGGACACCAGAGGUCCACACCUGGAGUCCUUACUCACCCUGCAUGCUUUCCUUGCUAGGCAUCCAGCGAGAACAGCCUCCGUGGUCAACAGCAUCACAAAAAGGGCAGUAGCUAUCUGUUCUGUCACCAGUUCCCCCUAGGUUUAAAUACUAGCUGUAAAUACUAAAAUACUUAUAGGACUCUCAGAGGAGGUCCUAACUCGAUUCAGUCAGCUGUCACCUUAUCACCGUAACUUAUAACUCUUAGACCUAUCACUUCUCAGUCCUCACCAUGAUCCUGUGCACAUGUUCUUGGCAAUGCCGGCCUCCUCACCUAGUCAGAACUCACGGUUACUAGAACUGGCUGAAAACAGCCAUCAGAAGCAGCUUCCAUAGUUCUACAAUGAAAUCUGCUUACUCUAUGGGACAUAACCUGCAAGAGAACAAACCAGUAUCAGAGCUGCUGGGGCGAUCAGAAGGACAGCCUCAUUCCAAAGUUCAAAAUUCUGUGAUAGUGUAUCAGUGAGAAUUACCUGAGUAUUAAGCAGCAGUGCGAAGACCAGACUGACGUCCUCUCCUGUGGCUGGGAGGUACAUACACUGGAGUGCUCACUGCCCAGGGAAGGUUGUGGAUGUACACAUCCAACAACUUGGGGAUUCUCUCACAGGAAUUUGUCUCAGAGAAACUUUAUCAUUAUAAUUUAUCGCAGUGUAACAAACUACUUAAAAAGGUGAAUGGGUCCCCAGCUCAGGAAAAAAAAAAAAAAAAGAAAAAAAAGAAAAAGGUGAAUGGGUUAAAGUAACAGACAUCAGGACCUCAUCCAGUUGCCCAUAUAUCCAACCCCUGGCCAGGGUAUUGUAUGCUCUGGCUGAGCAUAAAGGGUGCAGCUCUUAUGCCUCAUCAAAGAAGCUUUUUUUUUUUUUUUGGCAAUAGGAGACCAUUAAAGAGCCACAACUAAUGAAAAGGCAGAGAACUGACCGUGGGGGGCCCAGCCAAACUGAAGAAACACACUCCGGUACUCUGGGCUUAAGGAACAUCAUGUAAGAAUGGACAGAAACAUUAUAAGGCCCAGAGGACCAAGAAGUCUGCUGUGAGAAUGUGCCUUCCAGCUCUACCAGGGGAACUAGGCCCAGGAAAUCUCAACAGCAUGGCUGAGUAAACAAGACCCAGACAGUUUCAACAGUUGACAUCCCACUAUAGAUAGGAGAAAUGUCAUGAAGAACUACAAGUGAUUAACAUCUGUGGGGAGAGUGGAAAUUAUUCUUCCCUAGGGAUGAGUCACCUGAUUGGUCAGGCAUAAAAAUAUAUACAUAAAUGCAA